AUUGAACGCUGGCGGCAUGCCUUACACAUGCAAGUCGAACGGUAACAGCUCUUCGGAGGCCGACGAGUGGCGAACGGGUGAGUAAUACAUCGGAACGUGCCCGAUCGUGGGGGAUAACGGAGCGAAAGCUUUGCUAAUACCGCAUACGAUCUACGGAUGAAAGCAGGGGACCCUCGGGCCUUGCGCGAACGGAGCGGCCGCUGGCAGAUUAGGUAGGUGGUGGGAUAAAAGCUUACCAAGCCGACGAUCUGUAGCUGGUCUGAGAGGACGACCAGCCAAACGGGGACGGAGAAACGGCCCAGACUCCUACGGGAGGCAGCAGUGGGGAAUUUUGGACAAUGGGCGAAAGCCUGAUCCAGCAAUGCCGCGUGCAGGAUGAAGGCCUUCGGGUUGUAAACUGCUUUUGUACGGAACGAAAAGUCUCGGGCUAAUACCCUGGGACCAUGACGGUACCGUAAGAAUAAGCACCGGCUAACUACGUGCCAGCAGCCGCCGUAA
rnacentral:rRNA from 1 species